rnacentral:rRNA from 1 species
UGGGGAAUAUUGGACAAUGGGCGCAAGCCUGAUCCAGCCAUGCCGCGUGAGUGAUGAAGGCCCUAGGGUUGUAAAGCUCUUUCACCGGUGAAGAUAAUGACGGUAACCGGAGAAGAAGCCCCGGCUAACUUCGUGCCAGCAGCCGCUGUAAUACGAAGGGGGCUAGCGUUGUUCGGCUUUACUGGGCGUAAAGCGCACGUAGGCGGACUUUUAAGUCAGGGGUGAAAUCCCGGGGCUCAACCCCGGAACUGCCUUUGAUACUGGAAGUCUUGAGUAUGGUAGAGGUGAGUGGAAUUCCGAGUGUAGAGGUGAAAUUCGUAGAUAUUCGGAGGAACACCAGUGGCGAAGGCGGCUCACUGGACCAUUACUGACGCUGAGGUGCGAAAGAGUGGGGAGCAAACAGG